rnacentral:rRNA from 1 species
AGAGUUUGAUCAUGGCUCAGAAUGAACGUUGGCGGCGCGGAUUAGGCAUGCGAGUCGUACGAGAACCCGCAAGGGGGAAAGUGGCGAACGGGGUAGUAAUGCGUAGGUGACGUGCCCUGGGGUCGGGGAUAGCCUAGGGAAACUUAAGGUAAUACCCGAUAAUCCCGGUAGGUUUGAAGACCAUCCGGGCAAAGGUGUGAUUCCACCUCAGGAGCGGCUUGCGUGGUAUUAGCUAGUUGGUGAGGUAACGGCUCACCAAGGCUUCGAUGCCUAGGGGAUGUUAGCGCAUGAUCCCCACCACUGGGACUGAGAUACUGCCCAGACACCUACGGGUGGCUGCAGUCGAGAAUCUUCGGCAAUGGGGGAAACCCUGACCGAGCGACGCCGCGUGUGGGAUGAAGGCCCUUGGGUUGUAAACCACUGUCAGAGGGGAUGAAGUGCUAGAAAGCUAUCUUUCUAGUUUGACAUAGCCUCAGAGGAAGCACGGGCUAAGUCCGUGCCAGCAGCCGCGGUAAGACGAACUGUGCAAACGUUAUUCGGAAUCACAGGGCUUGAAGAGUGCGUAGGCGGUUUCGUAAGUAGGGUGUGAAAGCCCCCGGCUCAGCCGGGGAAUUGCGCCCUAAACUGCGAGGCUGGAGUGAGGUAGGGGGUGUGUGGAACUUCUAGUGGAGCGGUGAAAUGUGUUGAUAU